rnacentral:rRNA from 1 species
UGAACAGCUAAUUUGCGCAAGAGG